UCCUUUGAGCAUAGAUGGAAGGAUGGCGUUGAUGGCACGUGUCACUGUGAUCAAAACCCACCAAACACCAGCACCAACAUCAGCCAAAAUGCCCUGUCCUUCACCAGAGCCUUUUCUUCUCUCAUCAUGCAACUGCACCCCUUGUCAAACUCAUCAGAUGUACCUCCCAGAGGACCCAAGGGAGAUUGUGAUUCCCCAUUUAGUUCUAAAAGACGACUUUGUGGCUCUCAAUAGCCAAGUCAGUCAUCUAUAACAAUGAUCAGAGGGACCCAAAUGAUUAUUUCUCUUUAUUUUCAUUAUACUUAAACAAAACGUCCUCUAGUUGUUAGGUUACUAUAUUUGUUUUAUUGGAGGUUUCUUGUCCAUUAUGGAGCAGAUCUUGUGACUUUACCCUGAGAGCCCUACAAUGACUACACUGCUGAAGCUCUAGCCAUCCUUCCAUUACUGCCCUGAUGGCUUCAUUUACACACACACAAAAGUGGAGGGAGACAGCACUGGAAUGAUUUGGUAAUACUUUAUUUAUAACAUUUUUUUUCUAAUUUUCUGGUUUAUCAGGGAUAUGCAAAUUUGCCAAACUGCCAUGAGAAUUUCCUCAUAUUUAAGCUGGAAACAUAUGACCCCUGGAUCUAAGGGUCUGGACAAAGGAAAAGGGAUAAAUCGAAAUAGAUUUCAUAAUGUGCUCCUCCCCAGAGCCCCAGGAGGCAACAGAGACGCUUCAGGAAACAUCGUAUUGUUUGUGGGGAAAACAACUCAGAGAGGGUUCCGUCGGUUCUGUGAGUAAUGGAGUGGGUUACAAUCUUGGAUACCCAAGGUCAGGUGUGAUGCAGCACACAACUGUCACAUAGGGCAGAACCAAACUUUGGGACAAGGCUCUGUGAGCACAUUGAGGUGGCCAUGGAGAAUCAGGCUGGGUAUGUUUCCAUUAAAAAUGGAAGUGACACUUCACAGAAAAGGCUGUUUACUUCUUCAGAGUUUUGGUGAAUUUGCCAACUGAUGAAAGACACUGUUGCGGUGAGUACUUCCGUGGCAGGGCUCACUUCUGAUCUAACAGGUUUUUAUCUGGGGUCGAAGGUUCAGGAAGGCAGCAGAUCUCAUGAGACAUGCAGAAGACACACCUGGGGGCACGAGGAAAGCAGGUCAGGCCCAGACAACAGAGAAACGAGGCCCACAACCCCCAGUGGAGAAAUAAAAUCAACAUCAAAGAUUCUAACCUGAAAUGGCCCAUCCUGGCCUUUUUCUUCAUUUUCUGUGUAACAACCAAAAAUCAAAGGAAAACAUCCUGGCCUCCCCCGCCAGGUUGGGACAUGUGGAAGGAUCUGGUUGGGAGAGAGCCCAUGAGAAGGAGGCCACCAGCCCGAUGGGAUCAAGGCCUGUGGGGACGGCUGCUGCGGGCUGAAGAGAGCAGGGUGGGCCCUGGAGGGGAGAUGGGGCUGAUGGUGGAGGGAGGAGCGUGGCGGUUUCCAUCUUUCCAGCUGCUGGAGCAGCUCACUCUCCUGUCUACAGCUCAGCCCUUUAAAGAAAACUGGAGAGCCAGGCCAAGUUCUAUUUUCAGUAUCCACCUUGGCCACGCGAUGGCCAGCAAGGACCACACGUGUCUCCAGGAAGCUCCCUUUGCGAGUGGUAGUGCCACGGCCCAGCUUGCCCAGCGGAGCCUGGCUGUGAACUGCUGCAGAGGUGCCGGGAGCUCAGGGCAGGCCACAGGUUCCUCACGGUGGGAGGGCCUGCUCAUCUCCCUUGACUUUGAUAAAGCAAGAAAUAAAUAACAACAAAAAGAGCAGUCAUUCUGUUAACUGAAAAUCACUCUGCAAUUG
rnacentral:lncRNA from 1 species